rnacentral:rRNA from 1 species
UACGAAGGGUGCAAGCGUUAAUCGGAAUUACUGGGCGUAAAGCGCGCGUAGGUGGUUCAGUAAGUUGGAUGUGAAAUCCCCGGGCUCAACCUGGGAACUGCAUCCAAAACUGCUGAGCUAGAGUACGGUAGAGGGUGGUGGAAUUUCCUGUGUAGCGGUGAAAUGCGUAGAUAUAGGAAGGAACACCAGUGGCGAAGGCAACCACCUGGACUGAUACUGACACUGAGGUGCGAAAGCGUGGGGAGCAAACAGG